rnacentral:rRNA from 1 species
UACGUAGGGGGCAAGCGUUGUCCGGAUUUAUUGGGCGUAAAGAGCGUGUAGGCGGCUAGGUAGGUCCGUUGUGAAAACUCGAGGCUCAACCUCGAGAUGUCGACGGAAACCAUCUGGCUAGAGUCCGGAAGAGGAGAGUGGAAUUCCCGGUGUAGCGGUGAAAUGCGCAGAUAUCGGGAAGAACACCCGUGGCGAAGGCGGCUCUCUGGUACGUGACUGACGCUGAGACGCGAAAAGCGUGGGGAGCAAACGGG